UCCUCCUUAGCUCAGUUGGUUAGAGCAUCUGACUGUUAAUCAGAGGGUCCAAAGUUCGAGUCUUUGAGGGGGAGCUA
rnacentral:tRNA from 7 species